rnacentral:rRNA from 1 species
AACGAACGCUGGCGGCAUGCCUAACACAUGCAAGUCGAACGAGACCUUCGGGUCUAGUGGCGCACGGGUGCGUAACGCGUGGGAACCUGCCCUUAGGUUCGGAAUAACUCCCCGAAAGGGGUGCUAAUACCGGAUAAUGUCUUCGGACCAAAGAUUUAUCGCCUUUGGAUGGGCCCGCGUUGGAUUAGCUAGUUGGUAGGGUAAAAGCCUACCAAGGCGACGAUCCAUAGCUGGUCUGAGAGGAUGAUCAGCCACACUGGGACUGAGACACGGCCCAGACUCCUACGGGAGGCAGCAGUGGGGAAUAUUGGACAAUGGGCGAAAGCCUGAUCCAGCAAUGCCGCGUGAGUGAUGAAGGCCUUAUGGUUGUAAAGCUCUUUUACCCGGGAUGAUAAUGACAGUACCGGGAGAAUAAGCGCCGGCUAACUCCGUG